CCACCACCACCACCCUGCUGGAGGUCCCUGACAACACAAGGAGACGCAGGACUGUCUCCACCUCAUCGUCACUGUACCCUCCGGGCCAUAUGUUCCAACUGGAAUGUACUGGACUGGGGAGCUGUCUGAAACCUCCCAGGUUGAACAGGAAGAAGCGCUCCUCUGCCUCCAUGAGCUCUGACAGCACAGAGCUGUCUCUCCCUCCGCCGCCUCAGGAGAAGAGCUUCGAGUCCCUCCACGACAAGAUUCUGAAGAAGGACAAGCACCUGGAGCCAGGGUUAAUAAAGAAUGAGAAGAAGGUGAAACUGGAGGGAGA